rnacentral:lncRNA from 1 species
UUCUCACUAGCCUUCCCAACAACCCCUGGGGGACUGUUACGACCACCCCGUUUCACAGCGAAUCUCAUUCUCCUUUCCCCAGAGAGUCACUGAGCUGCUCCCCGCCAGGCACAGUUCUGGACUCAGGAGCCGCCAGAGUGGAGAAACCAUCCCACCUGCCUGGACCUUACCCUUUAGUCAGGGAGACAAGCAAUUAACAAGGUCCCUGGGGCUGCUAUGUGGAGAGCAGACUGGAGGGGCCAGGUGGCAGCAGGGAGGCUGAGGGGGGCGUCUGCAGUGAUGACCCAGGUGGGACUGUGGCACCUGGAAGGAAGGUGACAGCAGUGGAGACAGUGACAGGUUCUGGAUUCAGGGGACGAGACAAAUACUGCAGGAGUGCCCCCCAGCUCCCACUGUCCACGGCAGACAUCACUAAACGAUCGGGCGCUCUUCCCAACGAACCUGGGUACGGCUCAGGAUCACAGCUCUCUAGGACUAAGAGUGAUUGCAAAGAGAGGAGAGGAAGAGGGCCUGGCACUGAGGAAGCGCUCACGCUCAUGGAGGCUCAUCCUACUCCCAGCCCUGAGAGACCCUCCUUGACCGCCUGGCCCUGUCCCCCACCUUCAGAGGAGACAACUGCCUUCCAGAAGAAGGUGUCCACCCAAAGCCGCAGGGAAAGACCAGCGGUGCCACCCGGGACUGGAAGAGCCCCCUCGUUCCCCCUCCCCACAGCUGAGCCUCUCCAGGAGAAGGACUUGAUACCUGGAGGUGUGGUAGCCAUCUUGGGGCCAUGAGGCAACAACUGUGAAAACAAAUGCCACCGUGCCAGAGAGGGCAGAACAGAAAGCUGAAGCCUGAAGCCUAGACAGCACUGUUGGGCAGCUGAGCAUGCCCUGGACUGCUGGCUUAAGUAAAAAAUUAGAAGUUCAUUCUUGUUUAAGCCAAAGGCAUUCCUAACUGACGCAAAGCCAAGUCAUUUUUUGCAAACUAGCA